ACAUUUUAUCGUUCAAUAUAAAAAAAUUUCGACAAGUUACUUAUCAAAAAGAAAGGGAAUGAAAAUUAGUUGGAACUACUAAAACCUAGAGGAUCCAGCAGCCAUAGCAAGUUCAAAUUGUUGAAUAGAAAUAGAAGCUCGUGAAAACCUGCCAGCUCUAGCAUGAAGGAUAGAUGGUGUGGCCUCGUCUGCCUUGGCGCGAAGUUUUCUUUGUUUUAAGGGGGUUUAUUAUGUUUACUUCAAUUUGAUAUUUCAAAUUCAUUCGAUACCUAUAGACAUAGCGUGUCCGUUAAAAGAAGUCAUUUGUACUUUUUUUCUAUUUUUCAACAUCACAUUCAUGUCAUGAAAAACUAAAAAUAUGUAAUAUGUACUUUUAUAUGUACUCCUUGGGUUAGAGUAGUAGUAGUUAGGUGCCUAAUUUUGUCCAAAUAAUUAAGCAGACCCCACAAAUUAAACCUA